rnacentral:rRNA from 1 species
GAACGAACGCUGGCGGCAUGCCUAACCCAUGCAAGUCGAACGAGACCUUCGGGUCUCGUGGCGCACGGGUGCGUAACGCGUGGGAACCUGCCCUUAGGUUCGGAAUAACUCCCCGAAAGGGGUGCUAAUACCGGAUAAUGUCUUCGGACCAAAGAUUUAUCGCCUUUGGAUGGGCCCGCGUUGGAUUAGCUAGUUGGUAGGGUAAAAGCCUACCAAGGCGACGAUCCAUAGCUGGUCUGAGAGGAUGAUCAGCCACACUGGGACUGAGACACGGCCCAGACUCCUACGGGAGGCAGCAGUGGGGAAUAUUGGACAAUGGGCGAAAGCCUGAUCCAGCAAUGCCGCGUGAGUGAUGAAGGCCUUAGGGUUGUAAAGCUCUUUUACCCGGGAUGAUAAUGACAGUACCGGGAGAAUAAGCGCCGGCUAACUCCGUG